rnacentral:rRNA from 1 species
UGGGGAAUAUUGGACAAUGGGCGCAAGCCUGAUCCAGCCAUGCCGCGUGAGUGAUGAAGGCCCUAGGGUUGUAAAGCUCUUUCACCGGUGAAGAUAAUGACGGUAACCGGAGAAGAAGCCCCGGCUAACUUCGUACCAGCAGCCGCGGUAAUACGAAGGGGGCUAGCGUUGUUCGGAAUUACUGGGCGUAAAGCGCACGUAGGCGGACAUUUAAGUCAGGGGUGAAAUCCCAGAGCUCAACUCUGGAACUGCCUUGGAUACUGGGUGUCUUGAGUAUGGAAGAGGUAAGUGUACUUCCGGGUGUAGAGGUGAAUUCCGUAGAUAUUCGGAGGAACACCAGUGGCGAAGGCGGCUUACUGGUGCAUUACUGACGCUGGGGUGCGAAAGCGUGGGGAGCAAAC